UAAUACAUGCAAGUCGAGCGAACAGACGAGGAGCUUGCUCCUCUGACGUUAGCGGCGGACGGGUGAGUAACACGUGGAUAACCUACCUAUAAGACUGGGAUAACUUCGGGAAACCGGAGCUAAUACCGGAUAAUAUAUUGAACCGCAUGGUUCAAUAGUGAAAGACGGUUUUGCUGUCACUUAUAGAUGGAUCCGCGCCGCAUUAGCUAGUUGGUAAGGUAACGGCUUACCAAGGCAACGAUGCGUAGCCGACCUGAGAGGGUGAUCGGCCACACUGGAACUGAGACACGGUCCAGACUCCUACGGGAGGCAGCAGUAGGGAAUCUUCCGCAAUGGGCGAAAGCCUGACGGAGCAACGCCGCGUGAGUGAUGAAGGUCUUCGGAUCGUAAAACUCUGUUAUUAGGGAAGAACAAAUGUGUAAGUAACUAUGCACGUCUUGACGGUACCUAAUCAGAAAGCCACGGCUAACUACGUGCCAGCAGCCGCGGUAAUACGUAGGUGGCAAGCGUUAUCCGGAAUUAUUGGGCGUAAAGCGCGCGUAGGCGGUUUUUUAAGUCUGAUGUGAAAGCCCACGGCUCAACCGUGGAGGGUCAUUGGAAACUGGAAAACUUGAGUGCAGAAGAGGAAAGUGGAAUUCCAUGUGUAGCGGUGAAAUGCGCAGAGAUAUGGAGGAACACCAGUGGCGAAGGCGACUUUCUGGUCUGUAACUGACGCUGAUGUGCGAAAGCGUGGGGAUCAAACAGGAUUAGAUACCCUGGUAGUCCACGCCGUAAACGAUGAGUGCUAAGUGUUAGGGGGUUUCCGCCCCUUAGUGCUGCAGCUAACGCAUUAAGCACUCCGCCUGGGGAGUACGACCGCAAGGUUGAAACUCAAAGGAAUUGACGGGGACCCGCACAAGCGGUGGAGCAUGUGGUUUAAUUCGAAGCAACGCGAAGAACCUUACCAAAUCUUGACAUCCUCUGACCCCUCUAGAGAUAGAGUUUUCCCCUUCGGGGGACAGAGUGACAGGUGGUGCAUGGUUGUCGUCAGCUCGUGUCGUGAGAUGUUGGGUUAAGUCCCGCAACGAGCGCAACCCUUAAGCUUAGUUGCCAUCAUUAAGUUGGGCACUCUAAGUUGACUGCCGGUGACAAACCGGAGGAAGGUGGGGAUGACGUCAAAUCAUCAUGCCCCUUAUGAUUUGGGCUACACACGUGCUACAAUGGACAAUACAAAGGGUAGCGAAACCGCGAGGUCAAGCAAAUCCCAUAAAGUUGUUCUCAGUUCGGAUUGUAGUCUGCAACUCGACUAUAUGAAGCUGGAAUCGCUAGUAAUCGUAGAUCAGCAUGCUACGGUGAAUACG
rnacentral:rRNA from 1 species